rnacentral:rRNA from 1 species
UACGUAGGGUGCGAGCGUUGUCCGGAAUUAUUGGGCGUAAAGGGCUCGUAGGCGGUUUGUCGCGUCGGGAGUGAAAACUCAGGGCUUAACCCUGAGCCUGCUUCCGAUACGGGCAGACUAGAGGUAUGCAGGGGAGAACGGAAUUCCUGGUGUAGCGGUGAAGUGCGCAGAUAUCAGGAGGAACACCGGUGGCGAAGGCGGUUCUCUGGGCAUUACCUGACGCUGAGGAGCGAAAGUGUGGGGAGCGAGCAGG